UAGACUCUAACUCUGCUUUAAAGGAACCUGCACUGCGUGUGAAGAAGUUUUCUUCUAGAAAAAUGCAAGUGAAGGCUCAACAAGGCAUGUGAGGACUGGAAGAGUCAGCAUGAAACUGUCAGCUGCUUGUAGCUAACGCAAACUUACCAUGGAUCAACAUGCUAAGAUUGGAGGUUUAAUCCUGGAC
rnacentral:lncRNA from 1 species